rnacentral:rRNA from 1 species
GACGAACGCUGGCGGCGUGCUUAACACAUGCAAGUCGAACGGAAAGGCCUCUUUCGGGGGGUACUCGAGUGGCGAACGGGUGAGUAACACGUGAGUAACCUGCCCUUGACUUUGGGAUAACUUCAGGAAACUGGGGCUAAUACCGGAUAGGAGCUCCUGCUGCAUGGUGGGGGUUGGAAAGUUUCGGCGGUUGGGGAUGGACUCGCGGCUUAUCAGCUUGUUGGUGGGGUAGUGGCUUACCAAGGCUUUGACGGGUAGCCGGCCUGAGAGGGUGACCGGCCACAUUGGGACUGAGAUACGGCCCAGACUCCUACGGGAGGCAGCAGGGGGGAAUAUUGCACAAGGGGUGGAAGCCUGAUGCAGCAACGCCGUGGGCGGGAGGACGGCCUUCGGGUUGGAAACCGCUUUCGCUCAUGACGAAGCUUUGUGUGACGGUAGUGGGUAAAGAAGCACCGGCUAACUACGUG